UACGUAGGGUCCGAGCGUUGUCCGGAAUUAUUGGGCGUAAAGGGCUCGUAGGCGGUCCGUCACGUCGGGAGUGAAAACUCAGGGCUCAACCCUGAGCGUGCUUCCGAUGACGGGCGGACUAGAGGUAUGCAGGGGAGAACGGAAUUCCUGGUGUAGCGGUGGAAUGCGCAGAUAUCAGGAGGAACACCGGUGGCGAAGGCGGUUCUCUGGGCAUUACCUGACGCUGAGGAGCGAAAGCAUGGGGAGCGAACAGG
rnacentral:rRNA from 1 species